GUACAUAAGCACAAAUAGAAAUGUCAUGUUAGAAGUUUCUGUUAUAAUUUGUCAAGUAGUUGAAAUAUGUCAUACAGUGUUGUUAGAAAGCCCUCAUAUUUUGAUCAUGAUGUUGUAUGGGUUGCGUUAUAGUUGUAUUUCCUCCCUUGUUGAGCUAAUCGGAUGUUUGUGUUUUUUUACGUAAUGUCCUUGAACGCACCUCGUGUGUGACUUAGCUUUUCUCCAUGUUGCAGCACAGUUGUUAGCUAGUUCUCGCCUGUGCACAUGUCUGAACUGGAUGCAUGUUGCAUUUUUUUCUUCCUUAACCUGCUGUGUGUAAAUGAUGAAGAACCACAGCUAGCCACAGUUAUCCACAAGUAGCCACAGUUGUCUACCAGUGCAGCACAGAGUUAUCUGCAACAACAAUAAACAUCAUUAACCUGGAAAGUCUGGCUGCCGUGUUCUUUAACGGGCACACCUUCAUACCUUGUACCACUCUGAAAAUACCUACCUGGAGAACCCUCACUCGCGGUUAGAGGGUUAGAGUUGGAGUUAUAUGUCGGUGAACGGUUUCUGUCGGGUUCGCUCAAAGUCGGGCCAGUGGACGGCAUUUGCAGAGACUAUGCGCCUGGGAAGAGCUUCAGCUUUCAGAUCAGAGGUGAAAAAGUCAGCCUGGUGGCUGUGGACAACGCUGUGUAUCUUCUCAACAAGGACAGACUCACACAGAGGAAGCCGUGCAGUGUCCAGGCAGUACCAGAAGGAGACGCUCUGCUGAACUGUUGAAGCGUAAAGCUCAGCUGGUUGCCUGCUAAUCUCGAUUUGGAAGUAGAGGCUCGAGGAAAUGGACAAGGAAUACUAGAGUACAGGGAAAGACAACCACGGGUUGUGACCUAUUACAAUCAGCUGCAUGAGGUGGAAGAGAAAAUGCCCUGCAAGCACUUUGAUCUCAACGUCACUUUUGAAGGAUCCAGCGGGCUCUAGGACCCAGAGACGUCAGGAUGGUGGUUCUUGAUAUCAGUCUACCAACUGGAUUCACCCCAGAAAACUCUGACCUGGAGAUGCUGUCCAAUUCAGUGCAUCGUUACAUCAGUAACUUCCAGAUUGUAGACAACCUGAGUGACAGAGGCUCCCUGAUCAUUCACCUGUUCAAAGUAACAUCACUGUAUUUAUAAUUAUUAUUCUAUAUCAUAGCAUUUUAUGUUAUUCAUAUGCUUUUCUUUUUUUCCAAGAAGCAGGUUUCUCAAUGCUCAGUAAAUAAGUCUUUAUGACCACAGUCAACAAUCUGAGGCAGUUUUAGGCUAUUACACAAAACCAGCUUAUUGGUACCAAAGCCACGGUUCAGAACUCAGACUUGCUAAAUCAGUGUUAGUGUAGUGCAGUGUAGGGCUGCAGCCAGAGUACUGAGGAUAGUUAGCAAGAGAGAUCAUAUUUCUCCUAUGCUGGUUUCUCUUCAUUGGCUUCCUGUGAAAUGUAGAAUAGAAUUCAAAAUCCUUCUUCUGACAUAUAAAGCUCUUAACAACCACUCUCCAUCAUAUCUUAAAGACCUGAUAGUACCAUAUUAUCCUAGCAGAACUCUUCGCUCUCAGACUGCAGGCUUACUUGGAGAAGUGACCUGUAACUUCUCUCUAAAAGUAGAAUGGGAGGCAGAGCCUUCAGUUAUUAGCUCCUCUCCUGUGGAACCAGCUCCCAGUUUGGGUUCUGGAGGCGGACACCCUCUCUAAUUUUAAGACCAGGCUUAAAACCUUCCUUUUUGACAAAUCUUAUAGUUAGGACUGACUGGGGGACCCUGAGGGGGUCAGCUGGAGUCUUCCUCUUGGACGUCCCUUAGUUCUGCCCCUAGUUCUGCUGCUAUAGGCCUAGGCUGCUGGAGGACCUCUCUGGAUGCACUGAGCCCUUCUCUAUCUACCAU